UACAGAGGGUGCGAGCGUUGUCCGGAAUCACUGGGCGUAAAGGGCGCGUAGGCGGCCUGCUAAGUAGAGGGUGAAAUCCUGCGGCUCAACCGCAGGGCUGCCUUCUAAACUGUCAGGCUGGAGCACGGUAGAGGCAGAUGGAAUUCCCGGUGUAGCGGUGGAAUGCGUAGAGAUCGGGAAGAACACCAGUGGCGAAGGCGGUCUGCUGGGCCGAUACUGACGCUGAGGAGCGAAAGCGUGGGGAGCGAACAGG
rnacentral:rRNA from 1 species